rnacentral:lncRNA from 1 species
AUGACUGUCACUAUCAGCUCUUUGAAGCAGAUGGAUGAUUACCUUGCAGGUGACCUGUUCCAGAGAGGGCCGUGCAGCUUGCUAAAAGGCAUGCUAGUGCUCUCUGACUAUGCAGUGAUUGGCAAUGUGAAGAUGUUGCUAGCUACCAGCACGAUCAAUGGGACAAUGGGAACAACUUCUUACGCUUACUAAUCAUUCACCUUCAUGCUGAAAUGGUAUAGAACCUUCUAGAAGUUUGGUUUCUGAUGACAUCAUUCACUGGAGAAACAAGCUCUACUAGAAGAUAUGAAGCAGCUGAAUGAAGAUGCAAAGUUGCUCUUUAUAAGUUAUAGAAAUGCCUGAUCCAGACAAAAACUGAUGCAGAAAUAAGGCCUGGGGAUACUUAACAAUGCCUUCCGGCUGAGUCUUGCUCCUUCCAAAACUCUAAUGGACAACUAUGAGGUCUCUGGAGGAAUGACAAGGGAAUUGGUAGAUGCCCUGAGACUUCAAGCAAUUGAAGUCAUCCAGAAAGCC